AUGUUUCUCACGAUCAUGUUGUUGGAUCGGUCUGUGGAGAAACUGUUGUUGCUUAACUGUUCUGCAGCAUGGAGGAGUGAAUUAAACAUGUUUCGGUUGGUGUAUGUUUGUAUUAGAUCAGAAGGUUUUAUGCAAGGUGGUUGUGUUAAAAAUGGAACCGAGGCGGAGAUAUAUGUCAAGGUACAGUGCACGUAA